ensembl:lncRNA PARAIL palmitic acid regulated anti-inflammatory lncRNA
UUCCUCUCUCGCAGCCCCGGCCCUCCCCCCGGCGCGCGCAGCGACCAGCUCCGGCCGCCCGAGCUCCUCCCUCCCCAAACUUCGCAGGUUACGUCAGCGGCGGACGGCAAGGCGGGGAGAGGGGCAGCCCGCUCGCGGCCCUCCCGCCUGGCUCUCGCCUCGGCCUGCGGCCGGGAUCCUCCGCCCGGGUCGCGCAGCGGAGGCCGAGGGCUGGGACGGGCGGCUGGGAAGUGGGAAAGGGAGCUCCUUUUGUCUUCUCUUCCCAUCCCCCAGGUUUGGGAAAGUUUUCCUUUUGGGAAAGCCCCUCUCUUCAGCCUGCUGGCGGGUGUCGGAUUGGUUAGCGACCACCGGCCCCCGCCUCCCCCAACAGGAUUCUCCUUUGGGCCACAGGUCUUCCGGAAGUUGCCAAACCCCGGUAGCGGCAGCGUCCGGCUGGGGGCUUUAUUAGGGGGCACCGGGGUCUGCUUUCCGACUCCCUUCCGACUCCGCGCCUGCGCAGGAAGCGAUUUGGGGAGUGUUGUGAAUUCCGAGGGCUCCACACUUAAGAGGUUGUACACUCACCUGUCUACCUGGACUCCAAUUUCCAUAUUUCCAGCCACUUGAGGACUGAGAGGUGGAUGAUAAACCCUGUCAUAGUGGAGCAAGUUCAGGUGUUUAACCGCUGUUAUGGGGGAUCUGCCUUUUCUCCCUCUUCUUUCUUACUUCCAUAAGUAUGUAUGUGCAGAGAUUGAAAAAUAACCUUGAGAGAGUCCAUCCAUCUAACUCCAGUUCAUUGGAAAUUUCUGCUUCUUUGAGACUGAGGUUAUAUUCCACUUCUUCUGACUACACCACCACCAUCAAUCUCCUUCUCUGAACUCUUGGAUCAUUACUUCAACCUGAAACAACUCAUCAGGCAGAAUAGUUGCCUACUGCCCCAACCCCACCAAAUGUUCCAGCACCUCUGAUAUUACCUCACAUGGCAAGAGGGCUUUGAAGAUGUGAUUGAGUCAAGGAUCUUGAAUGGGGAGAUUAUCCUGAAUUAUUCAGCUGGACCCAGUGUAAUCACAAAGGUUUUUCAAAGAUGGAAGAGAGGCAGAAGAGCCAGAAAAGGAUAUGUGACAAUGGAGUCAGUGUCAGAGUUGGAGUGACGUGAUGUGAGAAGGAUUCAACCUGCUGUUUCUGGCUUUGAGGAUGAAAGAAGGGGCCAUGAGCCAAGCAAUACAGGUGGCUUCUUUCAAGAAGUUGGAAAAGUGGUAAUAUUUUAUGUUAUUUUGGUUUGAUUUUUGUUUGUGGCAUAUGGCUCUGCUGUCCUGUGACUCUAAGUAGAAGAGAAAAUAGUGCCAAUAAUUCUUCAUGGAGAUGCACCUCUCUCAAGUCUUGAACAAUGUUUGAGGAAAAGUGCUUUCAGCUGGGCUGAUGAGAACACCUUGGCACUCUUUCCUGCAAUGGGCACUGAUUGAGGGUCUUCCUGGUGUGGCAUCAUCAAAUCCCUGUUGCUCAAACCCACUAAUUAGCUCAUUCUUAUCUACAAGUAGCAGGGGCCCUAAAGCUCUCUGAGAAGAUCUCAUACUGUGUCUCCUACAUUUCAUCUUCUAUAAUCUCUUAUUCUUAGAGACAGAAAGAUGGUUAAAAGACAUCACUUCAUUUCUUUCUCUGGAUUUGGAAAGAGUUAUAUAUUGGGAUUAUGCUGUUAGUUUACACUUGCAUUGUUUAAAUUAGAGGAAAGGUUAUUUUGUGCAGAACAAAUAAAAAUUACUCUUUAACUACCUUUCAGAAUAUCCCAACUUUUAACAUAAGCUGUUUUGUAAAGGCUGGUUGUAGUGACUUGCUUCAUAAUAGACUAUUAAAAUAAGAUGCAUUGAAAUCUUGUUCUUUUCUUUGCAAUACCAUGUAUCAGCUUUGUUUUGAGAGGCAAACUCAAUUUUCCCCUGAAAUUAGGAAAUUACUGUAAGGGACUGGAAUGACACACAAGAAAAGAUUACAUCAUAGCAGGGAGACUAGCCAGUUAGAAUGGGGAUUUCUUUACAAACACUAGACUGGACUAUGGAUUAUAAUUUACCUAGUGUUAAUAGUUGCAGUCAUACAUUAAGGACAAUAUGUAUGUUCUUUAGUUUUUUGUCACUGAGCAGAGGUAGAAACAGGGAAACAACAAAGGCCGAAUAAUUUCCAGCCAUUGCUGCUUUGUUUGCACGGAGCCCUUUGAAAUGUGAACUAAGAAUAUUUCUCAGAAGGUUUUUAGGUGAUUCAUAUACACAGUAAAGUUUCAGAAGUGCUAUAUUCGAGGGCAUAUGGAAACCCAUGGCUUUUCUGCUAGAGGAUUGUCAAAAGUCCAGAAUUUCAUAACUAAAUACCAUGAAUUUAGUAUAGUAGAGCACAGAACUAAAGGCUGUCUUGUGGCUGCAAAGAGUUGACUUCACAUAGCAUAAACUAUAGUCUAAGACAGUGACUUAGACAUAAGAGAGAAUAGAACUUGGUAACUGGGAUUGUUUUACAGCGUGAUCAUGUAUAUUUCUAUAUUAUUCUAAAAAUAUUUAUUAUAUUUAUAUAAAAAUUGUUACAACCGUGUACAAGUGUGCAUAAAUAAAUAGUGUAUUUAUGUAGUCUUUAUUUGAAUGUCAGGCCAGUUAGAGAAGCUAGACAUGUAUAACCAGUUUAGUCUUAACAAUCAAGUUCAGAAAAUAAUAUGUAGACUUCCACCUAGUUCCUUUUCUGAAUAAUAUUAUAGACUUAAGGAAGCUAAUAAGAGUCCAAGAUUCUCUGAGUGCCUUUGUGAAUUAUUUCAUCUGAUUCAUGUAUGUACCUUCAUAUAAUGGCUUUUAAUAUUGAGGAAUAUUUGGAGAUUAAAAGAUUAGAGUAAUUCUGAGCUCAUUAAAUUGUAGAUUGUCAUUUCUUAUGAGGAUUUACUUUUCUGGUACAACAUGUUCUUAUCACUAGUUAUAAUGUAUUUUUUUACUUUUGGCUUAGAUUUUGAGCCCUCUAUUCAUGACAUAUCAAAUGUAGUUCUUUAGAUAUGCUGCUUUCUAAUUAGGAAGCAGAAUGUGAUUGCCUACUAUUCUCUAGCCACGUACCUACUAGUGAAUAUAUAAAGGAUGGAAUUCAGGCCGUGGUUUAUGAAAUUCAGGCUGUGUUUUUGAGUACUUCCAAGUAUGUUUCAAGUAACUUGGUUAUGGUUUUGAAUGACUAGGAAAAUGCUUUGCUUUUUUUGAAAGGGAAAUUGUUCAAAAAUGAGAUUCAAUGGAAAACACAGAGGGUGCUAAAAAUGCAGAGACAUUGUAUAAACCUAUAAGAAAUUUUACAUGGAACCAGAAUUUUGAUGCCCCUUAAAAGGAAACCAAUGAGAUUCCUUAUUCAUUAGUACUUUGAAAGUUGGCAGUGGAAUGAGGAUCUGUGGAGGAAGGGACAGCUGGAUCUUGCACUCAGGACUUCUGCCCUCUGCUCCUCAAAGAACUCAUUAGUCACUGUUCCCACUCCCACCCUGGCACCAAGGAAAAUGUGGAUGUUUCCACCUUUCCCACCCAGGCCUAUUUAGGGCAUACAACCCUUCCUGAAUUUCCUGCAGUACAGUUGAGAUCACACUGUAGCCUCUAACAAGCAUUUACCAGAGAUUCAGCGAUGACAACAGAGAACUACAAUAUAAUGAGUAACAGAUAACCACUCCAUAGAUGUUGCAUGCAUUUCCGAGUGUAUACAGCCCAUUCUCACCUUACAGGAGAACCAGGAAAAGAGAACAAUUUGGGAAGGUCUCUUCAUUUAAUUUUUCCCACACUGCUGCCUCUUCUAUCUUUGGCUUGUUUCUUCUUCUCACUUAGGAGGAAGUGGUUCUCAGAUAAUUGACUAAUCACUUCUUCAUGGUCGUGAACUCAAGGACUUACCUGUUAUGAGGGGAGAAGCAUAAUAAAGAUUACAUCAUGUGAACUUUUGAAAUAAAAUGCCCGAAGACAUAAGAGAGACCCUUACCACUGUCACACUCAAAAGGAAAGCUUAGUAGCUACAGAGAUUUAAAAAGCAAGCAAACAAGCAACCAAGCAAACAACAAAGACCUGAAGAAAAUUCCAGAAUAAUCCUCAACCUGUGCUUUCACAUGCUAAAUUUUCAUAAUGAGAAAGAUAAACUGUGUAUCUUGUGGUGUCAGUGGUCAGUGUGGUGAUAGUAGUUGUGGUUUGGGCUGCUUUUUUCCUUGUUUAUUUUUUCCAAAUUUUAUUUGGGAAAAUUUCUGCUGUUUCCAUUGUGAACUAAAGUUACAUAUAC